rnacentral:sRNA from 1 species
UUUAAUGAUAUAUUUUCUGUUAAGAUUACGAUUUUUACUGGGUUUAGAAAACAAAUUCUAAUUAUUUUUAGAAUACAGAAAGAAAAAAACACCAAAAAAA